AGAUGGUGGGAGCGAGGACUUGGCAGAUGCCCGCUCGCCCAGUCUAGACCCUCACCUGUGCCACGUCGGCCAAGGUGGCAGCAUCGACAGCGACUGCGCCUUUGAAGGAGACUACGCGGUGCCGACGCUCUCCAUGACCGAGGGCAUGCAGCACAUUCGCAUUAUGGAGGGCGUGUCCCGCUCGCUGCCCUCCUCCCCGCUGCUCACCCACCAGACCAUCAGUGUCCGGCUGCAGCCUGUGAAGAAGCUCACAGAUUUGACUGGAUCUCCUGGUUUCUUGACAUCACAACGUGUAUAACCUGGACCUGACGUCAUCUACCACAAACCUGCGCUGCGCCACGCCGGCAGCAUUUAACGAUAUCUUGUCCCCUCGGUGCGUUUUGGAAAGGAAGGCUGACAUUCGGGACAUCUCAAUCUCCCUCUCUCCACGCCUCCUUACCCAGCGGCGCGUUUAUAUGGCAUCUGUGUCUUCUGUGAAUAUUCGAGAUGAACACUGACAUUUGGGAUAUCUCAAUCUCCACGCCUCCUUACCCAGCGUAGCACCCAGAGAAAAUCGCUCUUCAAUUAUUGUCAUUAUUUCUUGCCUCAGCCGUCCCGGCCGCCACGGACCCUCCGAAUCAUUUGUUCUGCUGAAAGGAAAUGUGACAUUUUCAGCUCCACUGUCACAGGUGAAAUACAAAGAGUGACGGUUAAGUGCAGAAAGGAGUAAUUGAAAUGGAAGUACGAUGCCCUCAGGAGGAGCACUAAGGAACCAUUUGGAUUAAGUGCUGUGACAGACAUUCUUGUCAAAGUUUAGUCCUCUGCCAAGUAGUCUGGAUCUUUCAGUGAUGAGACAUCAUGGCAAAUAUCCAUUAUUCUCUAUUACAUGUAAACAUCAGGCUUUUACCGCUCAUGUAACAGCACGUCAAUGUAAAGUUAUCGGAGGGAGCGAAACAUUUCGUUUGUUGAGUCUUGUCGACAUGAAUGGCGAACGCUCGUGCAGAAUAUUUAAAGAAGGAACAGGUCAACAGCUGAACCGACUGAUGCAAAAAAAACAAAACCUUUCACUGCGAAUGUUUUGAGAAAAUAUCAGAAAAAGGGAAGUUUGAUGAAAUCUCGUCUCUGUGUUGACACACCUAAUCAAAUAUGCAGAGCUUCAUAUGAAAAGCUGCGGUUCAUCAGAGGGCAGAUGUUUGAUCACUCUGUAAAUAUUUAAAAGAGAGAAGCAAAAGGAUAUUUAUCUUAAAUCAACUAUAUUGAUGAGAAGAUGCUGAAAAGAUCCCUGUCAUUAAAGGAAUAAUCAUGUGUAUUGAUAUAAUUAAAACGAAUGAUGUUAAAAUGAUACUCGCACAGAAUUACAUAAAACAGCUAAUUUCAAGUUUUCAAGAUUUAACAGUUUCUAACUAAAAUAACGAACUUCUGAUUGUUGCUUAUGAAGAAAAAGACAAAGUUCUGUUGCGG